rnacentral:misc_RNA from 1 species
CAGAGUUCAUGCCCUCACGGGUAGAUCUCCCACCCUUGAAUAUUAUACCUUUGUUGCUUUGGCGGGCCGCUUCGGCUACCGGCUUCGGCUGGUGAGUGCCUGCCAGAGGACCCAAAACUCUGAAUGUUAGUGUCGUCUGAGUACUAUACAAUAGUUA